rnacentral:rRNA from 1 species
AGAGUUUGAUCAUGGCUCAGAACGUACGCUGGCGGCACGCCUUAUACAUGCAAGUCGAACGAAGUAGCAAUACUUAGUGGCAGACGGGUGAGUAACAUGUGGGUAUCUUCCCUUUGGUGAGGAAUAACACGAGGAAACUUGUGCUAAUACCUCAUAAGUCUUUACGGAGAAAGCUUUAUGCGCCAAUGGAUGAGCCCGCACUUGAUUAGUUUGUUGGUGGGGUAAUGGCCUACCAAGACUUCGAUCAAUAGCUGAUUUGAGAGGAUGAUCAGCCACAUUGGGACUGAGACACGGCCCAAACUCCUACGGGAGGCAGCAGUAAGGAAUCUUGCACAAUGGAGGAAACUCUGAUGCAGCGAUGCCGCGUGAGUGAAGAAGGCCUUUGGGUUGUAAAGCUCUUUCGUCGGGGAAGAAAAUGACUGUACCCGAAUAAGAAGGUCCGGCUAACUUCGUGCCAGCCGCCGCGGUAAUA